GCUAGGCCGGGUGCGGAGCUGGGCUGCCGGGCGGGGUUGCUGUCACCCGCCGCGGGGAGGGCGCCGUGAGUUCCUGUCAGGGAUGGCACACGUAGGUGGCUGUGCAGGGCAAAGACCCUAUUGCUUUUCGCACCAGGCCCAUGGGAUGGCGCAGAGCUGGGCUUCCUGCUGGAGAAGGUCCCCGGUAGCUUUCUUUGCUGCAGGACACAUUUAAUUCAUCCUCAGCCUCAACCAACACCACAGACUCUCUCCUAAAUGUUAUGCUAGAAAUGUGAACCUUAUUGGAGUUAUUAGUAUCCUGUUCAGACGCAGAAGUCAGCACUAGGAGCUAAAAUGGCUACUAGGAAUGCAAAAAAUCUAUAUAAAUAUACCCUGUGGCUUCAGUUGCUGUGAAAAAAGAAGAAAUUAUAAGGAAGCAGGUGAAGGAGGCAGCAUUUACAGAAGAAGAAAAAGGAAAUUCACUAAAGGGAAUCACUGGGAGAUCCUCAUCAGUCUAUCUAGAAUGGGUUUCUCCUGCUCUCCUUUGGGGCUCGUGCUGCCCAGUAUUCGUUUCCUGGCCUCCAUGUAGUCUGCCUCCCUUUGCACCAAGGAUUUCACGGGGAAGGCCGGCCUGCUGGCAGAGUUGGGAUUACUAAGCACGCUGUUCGUUGUCGGCCUCUAGAAGAUCCAGAUGUGCGGCUUCUUUUCCAACCAUCUGUUGGCCGCCUCCUCCCAGCUCUCGGCGACCUUCUCCGAAAGAGUGCACUGUGACUUGACUGAAGGA